rnacentral:rRNA from 1 species
AAAGGUGAAACCUAAUUGGCCUGAAGAAGAGCUUGCGUCUGAUUAGCUAGUUGGUGGGGUAAGAGCCUACCAAGGCGACGAUCAGUAGCUGGUCUGAGAGGAUGAGCAGCCACACUGGGACUGAGACACGGCCCAGACUCCUACGGGAGGCAGCAGUGGGGAAUUUUCCGCAAUGGGCGAAAGCCUGACGGAGCAACGCCGCGUGAGGGAGGAAGGUCUUUGGAUUGUAAACCUCUUUUCUCAAGGAAGAAGUUCUGACGGUACUUGAGGAAUCAGCCUCGGCUAACUCCGUGCCAGCAGCCGCGGUAAUACGGGGGAGGCAAGCGUUAUCCGGAAUUAUUGGGCGUAAAGCGUCCGCAGGUGGUCAGCCAAGUCUGCC